AGCGGAAUUCGUGAGACCUUUUUUUUUUUUUUGUUUUCACCUGUGGCAGCUUUUCUCCAGUAAGAGUUAAUUGUGAAAGUGGAGCAGGUGCUUGGCUUUCAGGGACCCUGGUGGUGCCAAGUGUACAGGGUUCAGGGACACAGAACUGACUAGACCACAGGAGUUAUGACCCUAUCAGAGUCUUUUUUUGAGCUUCUUGUAGCUGGCGAUCAGAAGGCCUCUUUUGCCAGUCUUUCUCCCUAGUUCCACCCAUUGAGGCACUUAGAAGGCUUCGUUGCCUGGAAUCCUUCCCUGUUGUUCAAUGUGUCAGCACAUAGAGAUACCUCCCUGGCUGGGGUCCUACUCUGUAGAUCAGUGCAUCAGGCACUUAAAGAAGCAUCGUGAGUAGGGUUCGACUCUAGUUUUGUGCAUCAGGCACUUAAAGGAGCACCUGGGUGGUGUCCUGCUCUGUAUUUCAGUGUGUUCAGCAUUUGAUGGGUCAGCCUCACUAUUGUAGUAACUGCUGAUGCUAUCAUGUGGAGAGAGAGAGGCUAUGGUGAUUGCUCCACCCCCAUACAUGUGACUCAGUGAUAUUGCCUUGCUUCCUUGGCUGCCUGGCUUUCCUCCACAGGCAUAUCCUAGCACAGUUUCCUCCCUCACAGCCCCUCUCUCCAUCUCGCCACAGUAAACAGCAGCCUUCGCCCAGGAAUCGCUCCAGAAUCCCUCAAUUCCAGCUCCCAGCCACUGUGCCUUUCAGGGGACACAUAUCCUUGGCUGGGGUAUGUACAGCUGUAGCAAGGACUCACUGAUUCUCAUUACAUCUAGUUAUCCACAGAUCAGUUGUUUCACUCUCAGCUUUAAAUGUUUAUUCUAUGAUUCAGACAAGCCCCCCAAUAUGGGAUUAGACCCCGGUCUCACGAAUUCCGCUC
rnacentral:sRNA from 1 species